rnacentral:lncRNA from 1 species
AACAGCCGAGACCCGAAUCUGAACCUGGCAGACUUCGCAGUCCGUUUGCCUCCUAGUUGAGCCCAGCGGUGCUUUCAAGUAAAAGUAUUGGGCUGCAUAUGUAUCUUAUGAUCUCAGUCAGUGGGGCAUAGCGGUUAGUGCACUUUGCUAGGAUGCGGCUGUCCUUUGCAAGGUUCCUGGGGAGCACUCCGUGGGACUUUCUGGGGAAGCAUACUUUGGAUCAGCUUGUGCAUAGGAAGUUGCCUUACAUUAUGGUAGGCAGACUAAGGCCCGGGGGCCGGAUCCGGCCCAAUCGCCUUCUAAAUCCGGCCCGCGGACGGUCUGGGAACCAGCGUGUUUUUACUUGAGUAGAAUGUGUGCUUUUAUUUAAAACGCAUCUCUGGGUUAUUUGUGGGGCAUAGGAAUUUGUUCAUUCCCCCCCAAAAAAUAUAGUCUGGCCCCAAGAAGGUCUGAGGGACAGUGGACCGGCCCCCUGCUGACCUUAUACUCAUAGCUGUCAACCUUCCCUUUUUUUGCGGAAAAUUCCCUUAUUCCAGCGCCGUUUCCCGCUGCUUCCCACUGCUAUCCUGGAUUGUUAGAUUUCCCGUAGACUGUCCCCGGGACAGGUGAGGCUGCUGAUCCCUUAUUUUUGAGGCUGCUGAUGCCUUAUUUUCAAAUCUGAAAGUUGACAGCUAUGCUUAUACUAAUGACCAGACCCCUACCAGGGAUUGACCUGGCUUGCGCGAUGGAGACCUGGGUACGGGAAGGCGAAGUAGUCUCCCUACAUGAGAUAACACCACCAGGUUUCUCUGUCCUCCAUCAAUCGCGGUCUGUGGGUCGGGGGGGGGAGGAGUAGCGUUGUUAAUCCGGGAGGAUUGCUCUUUCAGAGCCCUGCCAUCACCGGCGAUCUCCGGCAUUGAAUGUGUUGGUCUCGUGUGGGGCACCAAGGAGAGCUUGGCUGUCUGGCUGGUGUACCGACCACCCAUCACACCUGCAGCCACCCUGUCAGACCUGCUGGAGGUGGUGGCAGGCUGGGCCUUGGAGUUCCCAAACCUACUGGUUUUGGGAGACUUCAACGUCCAUGCCGAUGCCGCUCCCUCCUCACAGGCUCUGGACCUAGUGACUUCCAUGGCAACACUAGGGCUCUCCCAGUUUGUUUUGGGCCCCACUCCUCAAGCAGGCCACACGCUGGAGCUGAUCUUUGGGGCUGGCAUAGAUGUGAUCAUGCUCCCCCCUGUGGAAGUGCCAUGGUCUGAUCACUACGCUCUGAAAGCCAAGAUUGACUUCCCGCUCCUCCCCUGCUCGGGUGGCGAACCUAUUUGGGCUCGUCCGCGAAAACUGAUGGAUCCUGAUAGAUUCCGACAAGCCUUGCAGGACCCUGCUCCUCCUGGCGACUCAUUAGAUGACCUUGUUGAGGACUGGAAUAACCGGCUCUUGGCAGCCAUUGAUGAGAUCGCGCCUAAGCGCCCUCUGCGACCCCGUCGAAACCAGGCCCCUUGGUUUACUGAGGAGCUCCGGAAAAUGAAGCGGGAUCUCUGACGGCUAGAGUGAGUAUGGCGACAGACUCGUGACAGAGCCUCAAGAACAUCUUAUAGGACGCUUAUGAAAGCCUAUGAGAUGGCUAUGAAAGCUGCUAAGAAAUCUUACUUUGCAGCUUCCAUUGCAUCCGCUAGCUCUCGCCCGGCACAACUUUUUAGAAUAAUUAGAUCAAUAACGUCCUUAGGAGGACAACCAAAUUUAAGCACAAAUUCGACCCACAGCUGUGAGGCAUUUGCGAGCUUUUUUGCGGAGAAAGUCCUGUUUCUCCGCCGUGACCUCCCGGCCAAUUUAGAUACAGUGACUGAACUGGAGGCCCCUCGACUGACUUCAGGUCCAGUGUUGGACCAUUUCAAUCGAAUACUCCCUGCUGAUGUGGAUAGAUUCCUCCAAGUUAGUAGGCCCACCACCUGCCUCCUUGAUCCGUGCCCGUCUUGGCUGAUUAGGGAGUGUCCAGAUGUUGUGCGGACCCCCCUGGUUGAAAUUAUCAAUUUGUCCCUUGACACAGGGACAUUCCCAGGGGAACUGAAGGAAGCAGUGGUAUGUCCACUCUUAAAGAAAACUUCAUUAGAUCCCUUAGACCUAUCCAAUUACCGCCCAGUUUCAAAUCUUCCAUAUCUGGGUAAGGUAAUUGAGAGAGCGGUUGCUGAACAGCUUGGUAGGUUUCUGGAGGAAACAUCGGCUUUAGAUCCAUUUCAGGUUUUGGGACCGAGACGGCUCUGGUUGCCCUAACAGACGAUAGACAGCUGGAUCGAGGCGGGUCAGGACUGGUGAUCCUUUUAGAUUUGUCAGCAGCCUUUGACAUGGUUGAUCAUGAUCUUCUGGACCACCGCCUCGCAGACGUGGGGAUACAGGGCAUAGCCCGUAAGUGGCUGUGAUCUUUUAUCUCUGGUCGGGGACAGAGGGUGGCACUAGGGAGGGAAAUGUCGUCGCGCCACUCCUUGGUGUGUGGAGUGCCGCAGGGCCCAAUCCUCUCCCCAAUGCUUUCUAACAUCUUUAUGCGCCCCCUUGCCUAGAUUAUCCGGAGCUUUGGGCUGGGCUGUCACCAAUAUGCUGAUGACACUCAGCUCUAUCUGCUGAUGGAUGGCCACACUGACUCGGCCCCGAACACGCUGACCAGAUGCUUGGAAGCUGUGGCUGGAUGGUUUCGUGGGAGCCGAUUGAAACUAAAUCCUUCGAAGACAGAGGUCCUAUGGCUGGGUCGGGAUGGCAUGGGGAUGAGGGACCAACUCCCUUCUCUUGCGGGGGCCCAAUUAGUGCCAUUGCCUUCCGUUAAGAGUUUGGGUGUAAUCCUUGACGCCUCCCUUUCCAUGGAGGCGCAAGUUACAGCAACAGCCAAGGCGACAUUUUUCCACCUUCGCCGCAUCAAGCAGUUGGUCCCUUACCUUUCCCGCCCGACCUGGCCACAGUGAUCCAUGCGACGGUCAUCUCCAGGCUUGACUACUGUAAUUCGCUCUACGCGGGGCUGCCCUUGAAGCUGUCCCAGAAACUCCAGCGGGUACAGAAUGCUGCAGCGAGGCUCCUCACGGGGUCUCUGCCAUGGGAGCAUAUUCACCCAGGGCUUUUUAAGCUGCACUGGCUCCCGGUGGAGUACAGGAUCAGAUUUAAGGUGCUGCUUUUGACCUUUAAAGCCCUUCACGGCCUAGGACCCUCGUACCUACAGGACCGCCUCUCCCGGUAUGCCCCACGGAGAGCCUCAGGGUCCAUAAAUAGCAACACCCUUGUGGUCCCGGGCCCUAAGGAAGUUAGAUUGGCUUCAACCAGAGCCAGGGCCUUUUCAACUCUGGCUCCGGUCUGGUGGAAUGCCUCACGAGACCAGGGCCCGGCAGGAUCUGAUUUCUUUCCGCAGGGCCUGUAAGACAGAGUUGUUCCACCUGGCCUUUGGCUUGGAGCCAAUUUGAUUCCCUCCCUCUCUUUCUUUUUUCUUUUCCUUCUCCUUCUGCGAUGAGGCUACAUUUUAAUGUUUCAGUAUUUUAAUGUUGUAUUUUUUAAUUUUGUUUUUAAGUUGUCAUCAUUUAACUUGUUUUUAUUAUUGCUUGUAAGCCGCUCUGAGCCCAGCCUUGGCUGGGGAGGGCGGGGUAUAAAUAAAAAUUAUUAUUAUUAUUAUUAUUACUACUUAAGACCCGUAAACUCACCAAGAAACUUGCCUAGCUCCUUCAACAAUGGAAUCUCCCAAAUUCACAACAAUACAAUAUAUUUUAAAAAACAAAAAACUUUGGCUGUAGAUCAAGUAGAUGGACAGGCAACAAAGCUGGUCAAGUCAGGGUUGCAGGCAGAAAAGAAAUCCUAAACUGAGAUCAGCAAGCACUGGGAGCCAGAAAGGUGCUUCAAUUGCAGGAGACAAGAAAAAUGGUUUUUGUGGGGUAUAGGAAUUCGUUCAUUCCCUCCCCCCAAUAUAGUCCGGCCCCCCACAAGGUCUGAGGGACAGUGGACUGGCCACCUGCUGAAAAAGUUUGCUGACCCCUGCCUUACACUGUGUCUGACCAUUAGUCUGACCAUCUAUCUAUAAAGGCAUGCCAUACUAAAUAAAAAUCUCCUUGUUUAUCUAUGUCUCUCAUUGAUCUAAUUUAGAAGAGGGGAAUGAGAAGUGGUUGUCUUCCACUCAAAUUAGCGGAGCUGGGGGAAUAUGUAUUACCUGACCCGGUAGUUCCAUCCAACAUUUCCUCCAAGCAAAGUGGCUCAUUACAAUUCCUUAACCAUGAAUAUAACAGCUUCAAUAUGCUGACGUGAGGGUAUGGCACCCUCUGCUGACCAGUUUCCGAAUUAAGGGUGCUUCCGAGGACAGGGAAGUGGGAAAUGGUUUGUUGUUGGUGACGGGAUUUUUGUUUGUUUUUACUUCUCUGGAAAGGCUAAAUCUGUACAGUAUUAAAUGGAGAAAAAACUGGGCUGAGAUUUUGAUGCCAUCACAUGGAGGAUACAUGGCUGAGAAAUCUAGAUCAUGAUGGAGAGAUCGUGGAGGUAGCGGGGGUUAAAUCAUGGGUGC